GUGGGGAAUAUUGCACAAUGGGGGAAACCCUGAUGCAGCGACGCCGCGUGAGUGAAGAAGUAUUUCGGUAUGUAAAGCUCUAUCAGCAGGGAAGAAAUGACGGUACCUGACUAAGAAGCCCCGGCUAACUGCGUGCCAGCAGCCGCGGUAAUACGUAGGGGGCAAGCGUUAUCCGGAAUUACUGGGUGUAAAGGGUGCGUAGGUGGUAUGGCAAGUCAGAAGUGAAAACCCAGGGCUUAACUCUGGGACUGCUUUUGAAACUGUCAGACUGGAGUGCAGGAGAGGUAAGCGGAAUUCCUAGUGUAGCGGUGAAAUGCGUAGAUAUUAGGAGGAACAUCAGUGGCGAAGGCGGCUUACUGGACUGAAACUGACACUGAGGCACGAAAGCGUGGGGAGCAAACAGGAUUAGAAACCCUGGUAGUCC
rnacentral:rRNA from 1 species